UACGUAGGUGGCAAGCGUUGUCCGGAUUUAUUGGGCGUAAAGAGCGUGUAGGCGGUUAGGUAGGUCCGUUGUGAAAACUCGAGGCUCAACCUCGAGACGCCGAUGGAAACCAUCUGACUAGAGUCCGGAAGAGGAGAGUGGAAUUCCUGGUGUAGCGGUGAAAUGCGCAGAUAUCAGGAAGAACACCCGUGGCUAAGGCGGCUCUCUAGUACGGUACUGACGCUGAGACGCGAAAGCGUGGGGAGCAAACAGGG
rnacentral:rRNA from 1 species